CUCAGGUAUCCAUUUGACAUGCUCCUUAACCAAUUCAAUUGGGUCUUUUUCAUUUUUUAUAUGAGAAGAGACUUCUUAGAUGAUGGGCUACAAAAGUCUGUUUUGGAAGAGAGAUUUUUGGCUUUUAUUGCACUUGCUACCACACUUGUAUAUUCUUUCCAUUCUCUUUUCAGUUCAAAUGAAGAAGGUUUAUGACAUAAAUACUUCAAAAUGCAGUCCUAAACUUGUUAGAGAUUCUGUUUUGUCCUGUUUCCUUUUUCCUAUCAGUAGAACUCGUAUUCUUGAAUUUUGAAAGAAAUAUAGUCACUUUCAACUGAUUUCAAGACAUUCUAUAAACAAUAAAUUCAUAAAAGGAACAUAUAAGCAAUAAAGUUCAAAUAAAAAUUAAAUCAUUUAAU
rnacentral:lncRNA from 1 species